GUUGGUGUGGUGUAAUGGUAGCACCGAUGCUCAACAGCAUUGAAUAUAGGUUCAAGUCCUAUCAUCAGCA
rnacentral:tRNA from 1 species